CGCGGCCUAUCAGCUUGUUGGCGGGGUAAUGGCCCACCAAGGCAACGACGGGUAGCUGGUCUGAGAGGAUGGUCAGCCACACUGGGACUGAGACACGGCCCAGACUCCUACGGGAGGCAGCAGUGGGGAAUCUUGCGCAAUGGGCGAAAGCCUGACGCAGCAACGCCGCGUGCGGGAAGAAGGCUUUCGGGCUGUAAACCGCUUUCAGCAGGAACGAAAAUGACGGUACCUGCAGAAGAAGGAGCGGCCAACUAUGUGCCAGCAGCCGCGGUGAUACAUAGGCUUCAAGCGUUGUCCGGAUUUAUUGGGCGUAAAGAGUUCGUAGGCGGUCGAGUAAGUCGGGUGUGAAAAUUCUGGGCUCAACCCAGAGACGCCACCCGAUACUGCUUAACUUGAGUUCGAUAGGGGAGUGGGGAAUUCCUAGUGUAGCGGUGAAAUGCGCAGAUAUUAGGAGGAACACCGGUGGCGAAGGCGCCACUCUGGAUCGACACUGACGCUGAGGAACGAAAGCAUGGGUAGCAAACAGGAUUAGAUACCCUGGUAGUCCAUGCGGUAAACGGUGGGCACUAGGUGUGGGUUUCUAUUAACGAAAUCCGCGCCGUCGCUAACGCAUUAAGUGCCCCGCCUGGGGAGUACGG
rnacentral:rRNA from 1 species